GUAGUGAAAUUGCGAUACCUUAACCGCUAUUACUCUCCUAUAACGAGAUUACCGAGAGGAGAAAGACGGAGAAUACUCUGCUCUGCAAAAUCCCUUCUCACUUCUCUCUCUUCCCCUUCAUCAAAUUCCAAUUUCCACCCAUCUAUUUCACCAAUAUGAUGUUUCUUGAAGCACUACUCUUCAUUGUCGGCCUCACUUUCCUCGUUUCUAUUAUUACGGCAAAGCUCCUGUCAAUGGCGUCGGGAUUUACUCCUGAUAGCACUCUGCCUCCCUCAGUAGCCGCGGUUAUAUACGUAGACAAGCACGAUAAACAAUCGGCAAUUGCUUGUGUAGAAAGCAAAAAAGGGAUUUUUAUACUUUCUGAAGAAUCGGCAAAAGUUAAUGAUCGUAAAGAGGAAGAAUUUAUGAGGAUUGAAAAUACCCACUGUUGGGUCAUGAUAUUUCUCCUAUUUUGGGCCAGGUAUAUUGGGCCCAUUUAUCAGUUUAAUCUGUUGGGCUUUUAUAAUUAAGCCAUGGGACUCUUUGAGCCCAUUUAUUGUGUCAACUUUAUUUAAUCCUAUUGGACCGGGUCAGUUCGUUGGAUUAACCCAUUGGGUCAUUUAAUAUCUAUUACUUUGACUUGUAAUGAUGAUAUAGUAUGACAGUUGACCAAGAUAUUUGUCAUGCAUUAAUGUGGAUGGGAUUAUAGUCGGCCGGCGGUGCAAACAAUGGCCAAGCGCAGUGGAUGAACUCCAUGCAGUCGGUCGAACCCAUCAGGUCAGGGGAUAUGUCAGGUUAUAGUGGGCGGCACGAUAAUCCAAGCAAGGAUAUUAUUUCUUAGUGAGUAAGUCUUCACAAGGAG
rnacentral:lncRNA from 1 species